CAGAAGGAUAAUAUUAAUAAAAACAAGUUUUUAUUCCUAAUGGUCCCAAAAGAAAGCUUAAAAUCAUUUAAGAUACACCUGCCUGUUUAUACCAAUUGAUAUAAUCUAUUUAUGUAUAAAUAAGCAUUGAGGUGUUCCAUUGUGGCUGUCUAAGUAAACAUUGACAUUGAACAAAUGCAGUUUUGUCUAUUGACACUAUUCUUUGCUCAAAAGACCAUUUAUAGGUGCUUCUUGCUGUCUGUGUCAUAGACAAGCGUGUUCCUAUAAACCAGAAUUAUAAUUUUGUUUUCCUGAAAGUUGUUUGUUUUCAGAUCUUUGUGUGAUCUCUGUUUACCAAGAAAGUAUCUUCUUGAAAAUGCUUUGCGACUUGAUAUUGCUUUCUUGUUUGUGUUGAGUAGAUCAAAUUGGGUCUACUUUCUAUAAAACUGUUAAAAUAAGCCCAUUAAUACUGAGUAAUAGAAAUAAUAAAUCUGAAUGUUGAGAUGGCUUUAAUAUUUCAAUAACCCGUAUUUUCUGCUUCUAAACGUAAAUACAUUCUUGAUGAAAGUAUUCAAACCUCUUGUCUGAAGCAACCUGUAUCCUUUUUUUGUAUUGUGUCUCUAAUAACAACAAAAUUGACUUGAGGAGAAAAGUGAUUAUUUGCAAUAAGUCAUGUCACAAAAUCUAAUAGGGUACUGAGUGAAAGGUGGAAUUCUUUUCAAAAAACCAUAUCAAAUUCUUUAACUGCAUCAUGAGGUGUCAUGUGUAAAGCAGCCCAAUGAUGACUGAAAACCUCCACCCGUGAGAAAAGCCCCCAUAGAGGGAGUUUGCAUACGAGGCAACUUUAGGCUGUGUGAACUCAUUUGACAUUUUCACACAUUGAUGUGUUGAAUUAUUAAGCUAAUUCUUCACAACUAAAGUGUUAGAACCAUUGACACACGGAUUGUUUUAAAAAAUAAACAUUGAAUGUUGGAGGGUGCAGCAUGGCUAAAACUGUGGUUAUCCUUUGGUUUGUUCGGUGAGGUAUGGUUAGUGUAUGAGUUCAUUUGAAAGUGAAUAGGCUGCUUCUUUUCACCGUAUGGCUCAGUGAAAGGGAUCCGACACACUGCGGCAAAAAAAAAAUACAAAGCAAGCUGUAUCAUGUGACACUAUCAAGGAAAAGCACGUUAACCAGCCACACAGUAAAGUGAGGAAACAGGAAACAAAAAAAGGCAAAUAUUCAGAAGGAAUGAACAUACUGCAUUAAGAACCAAAACUUUUUUACUGAAUUUACAUUAAGUAGAUUUCAUCUCCUUAGAAAAUGUGUUUCUAACUUGCCACAUAUAGGGUAGUAAGUAGGUGGUUGAAUGGCGAGUAAAUUAUUGUCAAAGCUACUACAUGGAGUGGCUGUAAAUAAUUAGACAUUCUGAUGUCAUGUUUCCAUGGCUCUAUGACUUGAUGAACCUGUCUGACAAGCUGAUGACAAGAGGCUGUCGGGCAGCAGCUCACAUGUUUCCUCUUUCAGUGAAGUAAUCGUUCUGUCAAUAUUUGCAUUGGUAAUACCACUGUAAAUAUGCACCACUGCUCGGUCUGAGGAAAGGCUCCAGUCAGAAGGGGGCGGACAGAUUUACUGAAAACACCUCUGUGUUUUUUUGACAACUUUGCCAGCUUUGAUGCUGGUUGGAGCAAAGAAAAGGAAAGAAAUGUAGUGAGGCACACAUAUCUUUUUGUGUGCGUGUUUGUUUGUGCCUUUGUGUGGGUGAAAAUGGAGGAAAAAGCUAUCUCACAUUUCCACUGCAGGAAAGAAGAAACUGACUUCUCCUCACCAGCGUCCCCAGGUUGAUGUCACCUUUGGCCGUGUCUUCAGUUACAAUAGUGUCCGUUUUCCUCCUCUCCAAGGCUGUCCACUGUGCCCUCAGUCCAGAGAAGCAAAAAAGAAGGGAAGAGGGAGAGAGGCCGGGAAGUGCUUCAGGUGUACUGUUCACUGUGCCCUGACUGCCAGCCCUGCACAGGUGACGCAGCUCCUCCCCGGUCUACCUGUCAUGAAGGUUGUGAAGCCACACCCCCUUGACUGCUCAGCUAUGUUUCUUUAUAUGAGCUCAUUACAUCUUAGACGAACAGAAACUUUCAUUUGACAUCCUACAAACAAGCUAGACAUUUCAAAAGCAGUUGUGAAAAUUAUUAACUUACAAAACUGCUUUAUCCAUUGUGUACACAGUACAAAGGUUUUUUUUUCCUUUUGGGGAAGGGGGUUACUUGUUUCUUGGAAAUGUUACAUAAAAGUUUCAGUGAAAUAACACUACAUUUAGAUUAGAUCUCAAGCAAACAAAUAAAUCCCAUCUGAUCAAGUGCAGAAGUUGCUUUUUCCUGCUCUACAGGUUUUUCUUAUCAACCUUUUUUAGUGCUACUUGUAAAUGCACCUCCCCCAGUCUUGUGAUGUGAAGCUGUCACCCAAGCCUGACAAAAUCCUCUGGGAAAAACUAUAGGGUUAUCAUCUGCCUACCACGUUAGUCAUUAAUGCCUAAAGUAAUGCCCAAAGAUUUCUCCAUAGCACUCCCUGACAAUGUUGCAACGUUACACGGCAACACCUGGUCUGUGUUUUUAUAGCACAAAGAUUUCAUUUUUAUGUUUCCCCAAUGAAACACAGGACUGCUCUUGGAACACAAUGGCGAAACCUGCAGUCCCCCUCAGAGUAUAGAGCUACCAAGCAGCCCUUCAAAAAGCCACACAGCAGGGUUGUUGUGUUUUUUUUUUGUUCUUGCUCAUAGAAGGGCUGGGCUUUGUGGACCUUAAUGGUGUGGUGCAAUCAGAAUACAGUACAGUAGCAAGCAGACUGUUUACCUGGUUGACUUUUUUCCCUUAGGCUUUCAGAGGUGCCGACACCUAAAACCUUUAGAACCUGAAGGAAAAGUGAGUUUUGCUGCAAAUGUUUCACUGUUUGGCACCUUAUUUCUCUCCUCCAUAUUGUCUGGAUUCAGUCUCCUGACUGUGUUUGUAUAAUUUAUUUCAUUGAUGUUAACAUUUUCCUAACUCAUAAAGUAUGUGAAGAAAAUCAAAAUAUAGACACUUUCAUUUGGAAACAGUCCUUCUAUGUUAAUCAAUCAGCAGAGUAUUUUUAAAAUUACAAUAUUGUAGAUGUGGAUAUGGAUAAAUACGGUGUGUGACUGUCACUACACAUGUAUAAAAUUUUGUCAACAAAUGUAAACUGUAACAAAAAGAGAUGUGCUUAUAAAAUAACGUUGUAGUCAAUUUAGAUUGAAGUAGAAGCUAAAUAAAGAUGAUGAAGUGCAAUUAU